rnacentral:rRNA from 1 species
GGCACAGCCGGGUAGCUAAGUACGGAAAAGAUAACCGCUGAAAGCAUCUAAGCGGGAAACUUACCUCAAAACUAGGCCUCCCUGAGGGUCGUGGUAGACCACCACGUUAAUAGGCCGGGUGUGGAAGUGGAGUAAUCCGCGAAGCUAACCGGUACUAAUCACCCGAUAGAGUUCAACAU